UUGGUCAGGGAGCUGGUGGACUUCCUGGAUCUGGACUUGGAGCUGGUGGACUUCCUGGAUCUGGACUUGGAGCUGGUGGACUUCCUGGAUCUGGACUUGGAACUGGUGGACUUCCUGGCUCUGGUCUUGGAGUUGGUCCUGGAGGAUAUGCUGGAGCCAAAGCACGAAAAUAUGCUCAGCUUGGAGGUCCUGGUGGGGCUUUAGGUGCUGGAGGAUUACCAGGGGGACUUGGGACUGGCGUGCUCCCUGGCUCUGGACUUGGAACUGGUGGACUUCCAGGCUCUGGGCUUGGAACUGGUGUGCUCCCCGGCUCUGGACUUGGAGCUGGUGGACUUCCUGGAUCUGGACUUGGAGCUGGUGGACUUCCUGGAUCUGGACUUGGAACUGGUGGACUUCCUGGCUCUGGUCUUGGAGUUGGUCCUGGAGGAUAUGCUGCAGCCAAAGCACGGAAAUAUGCUCAGCUUGGAGGUUCUGGUGGGACUUUAGGUGCUGGAGGAUUGCCAGGAGGACUUGGAGCUAGUAGCCUUCCAGGCUCUGGACUUGGAACUGGUGGGCUCCCUGGCUCUGGAGUUGGAACUGGUGGACUUCCUGGCUCUGGACUUGGAGCUAGUAGCCUUCCAGG